rnacentral:rRNA from 1 species
UAGCAGCACACCGCUAGGGUUAGCGGCAGACGGGUGAGUAAUACUUGGGCAAUCUGCCCUCGAGAGGGAAACAACCUGCCGAAAGGUGGGCUAAUGUCCCAUAAGACCACAGGGUGACAUCAUCCAGGGGUCAAAGCUCCGCAAGGGGCGCUUGAGGAGGAGCCCGAGUCCUAUCAUGGUAGUUGGUGAGGUAACGGCUCACCAAGCCUUUGACGGGUAGCCGGCCUGAAAGGGUGACCGGCCACACUGGCACUGAGACACGGGCCAGACUCCUACGGGAGGCAGCAGUGGGGAAUUUUGGACAAUGGGGGCAACCCUGAUCCAGCGACGCCGCGUGGAGGACGAAGGUCUUCGGAUUGUAAACUCCUUUUGAAGGGGAUGAAUGCCCUGGUGAAAAGCCAGGGGUGACAGUACUCUUCGAAUAAGCCACGGCUAACUACGUGCCAGCAGCCGCGGUAAUACGUAGGUGGCAAGCGUUACUCGGAAUCACUAGGCGUAAAGCGCAGGUAGGCGGUUCGAUAAGUCUCUUGUGAAAGCUCCUGGCUCAACUGGGAGAGGUCAAGGGAAACUGUCGGGCUAGAGUGUGGUAGAGGAAGCUGGAAUUCCCGGUGUAGCGGUGAAAUGCGUAGAUAUCGGGAGGAAUACCUAUGGCGAAAGCAGGCUUCUGGGCCAUCACUGACGCUGAUCUGCGAAAGCUAGGGGAGCAAACAGGAUUAGAUACCCUGGUAGUCCUAGCCCUAAACGAUGCUCAUUAGGUGUGGAAGGUAUCGACCCCUCCCGCGCCGAAGCUAACGCAUUAAAUGAG